CCUCCAUUCCUUCAACAACCAAAAAUCUUAAUCAAACUUCUUUAGACUAAGACACCCAUUUGUAUCCACUGGUCUACAUUCCUUCAGCAACUAUCACAACAUAAUCUUCUUUGAACAGUGUCCAAGGUAGGAGUUGAUGAACAUGAACAAUUCAAACCAUUCGAGAACUGUCCUAAACGACAUGGGGACUUGAGCUCUAUGAAAGAGAUUUUAUUGAGAGCUUCGACAUACAAGGUGAGUAGUUCUCACAUUAACCUAAAUGUUCAAUUCUGUGAAUAAACUUUCUUGUAAGGCAUCCUCCUCCGAAGAUCCGGCUUAUGUGUUGCAGUUAAAAUUACAACACAUCUUUU